AGAAUUAGAUUUUCGACUCAUGACGAAAGCAGAAAGUAGUAACAUCCACGAUUUACUAAACACCUUGAAUCCUAUUUUACUAGAUAAGGCCCGCCUAAAUAAGCGGGUGUAAGAUGUAACUGUAAUUUUUAUCGAUAAUAUUUAAAUUUUGAAUAAU
rnacentral:sRNA from 1 species